rnacentral:rRNA from 1 species
GUGAGGAAUAUUGGUCAAUGGACGAGAGUCUGAACCAGCCAAGUCGCGUGAAGGAAGACGGUUCUAUGAAUUGUAAACUUCUUUUGUGCAGGAAUAAAGUGGGUUACGUGUAACCUUUUGUAUGUACUGUACGAAUAAGGAUCGGCUAACUCCGUGCCAGCAGCCGCGGUAAUACGGAGGAUCCGAGCGUUAUCCGGAUUUAUUGGGUUUAAAGGGUGCGUAGGUGGAUUGAUAAGUCAGCGGUGAAAGUUUGCAGCUUAACUGUAAAAUUGCCGUUGAAACUGUCGGUCUUGAGUGCAAAUGAGGUAGGCGGAAUGUGUUGUGUAGCGGUGAAAUGCUUAGAUAUAACACAGAACUCCGAUUGCGAAGGCAGCUUACUGGGAUGCAACUGACACUGAUGCACGAAAGCAUGGGGAGCAAACAGGAUUAGAUACCCGGGUAGUCC